rnacentral:hammerhead_ribozyme from 1 species
AUCCAGAUGACGCGUCCCAAAUAGGACGAAACAUGCGUUUUGGAU